AAGGAACUCACCAAUCACGGCGAGCAGCUACCAGAGGCGAGACGAAGGGGUGACCGGAGAGAAAAUGAAGGCGGAGGCGAGGUCAAGAAGAUGACGGCACACGAACCAGAAGCCACGAAGCUGCUGCUGCUUCUGCUUGUGUGCGAGUGUGAGACGAGGGGAUUGAGAGACGAGUCUCUCAAGUGGGUGUGAGAGGGGGAGUGGAAAAAUUAGGUUUCUUUUUUCAAAAA